rnacentral:rRNA from 1 species
GACGGAGGAUGCAAGUGUUAUCCGGAAUCACUGGGCGUAAGCGUCUGUAGGUGGUUUAAAAAGUCCACUGUUAAAAAUUGAAGCUUAACUUCAAAGAUGCCGUGGAAACUUUUAAACUUGAGUAUGGUAGGGGUAGAGGGAAUUUCCGGUGGAGCGGUGAAAUGCGUAGAGAUCGGAAAGAACACCAACGGCGAAAGCACUCUGCUGGGCCGACACUGACACUGAGAGACGAAAGCUAGGGGAGCGAAUGGG